UACGUAGGGGGCAAGCGUUGUCCGGAAUCAUUGGGCGUAAAGAGCGCGUAGGCGGCCCAGUAAGUCCGCUCUGAAAGUCAGGGGCUCAACCCCUGAAUGCGGGUGGAUACUGCUGGGCUAGAGUCCGGAAGAGGCGAGUGGAAUUCCUGGUGUAGCGGUGAAAUGCGUAGAUAUCAGGAGGAACACCUGUGGCGAAAGCGGCUCACUGGACCAUAACUGACGCUGAUGCACGAAAGCUAGGGGAGCAAACAGG
rnacentral:rRNA from 1 species